CUUUCCAGGAGAGGGGGCUGGUAAGAGAUUCCUGAGGGCAGAAUGCUUGCUCAGUCCUCAGUUGUUUUUAUGUAAACUUUUUCCAUCUUCCCAGACCUUCAAAUGUGACAGCUUUUUUUUUUUUUUUUUCCCGAAACAAAAAGUUUUAUUUUGAAAAUACUCUUUAAAGGUAAAUUUGGCUUCCAUUUUCCCUAAGGUGCAUCCAACAAGAUACAAAAACAAGAAAACAAAGACCCACGACAUUAUGUAGAGCUCUAAAAUGAGCUGUAUCUACCUGAAACCAGCAUUCGUAAGCUCUUUGUGAAGGGAUAUACUUGUGUGUCCUUCUACAGUUCUCGGUUCUCAAGAAGAGGUAACUCCCUGGAGCUGCAGGUGUGGCUGCAGCAGGGAGGCUGUGCCACGGAGGACCCAAAGACUGGAAGACAGUUCUGGUUCUUGGUUGGGCUGGAAGAACCCACGGUCCAUUCAUGCUUUCGGUUCCCAGCUGCUUUGCAUGGCUCCUCCCUCACCUCUUAGGUUUCAAAACCCUGAACGGGCUGCUGGCCUUUAAGAUCCACUCCACGAAAUUGUCUGCCCUACUGGUCUGCCCUGCUUGUCUUUCCUCCCCACCAGCAACAGAAUUUGGACCAUCCAUAUCAUCCUGCGGAUGGAAAGCAGCAUGAGGAUGAUGUAUCCAGGAGGCCCCUAACACAACAUGUUUGGGACCUGGCCUUGCCACGGGACGGAGAAACUUUGUUUUAGCGCCUUAACCUUUUCCAUUGGCAUAGACCUCCUCUACACCAGGACAGAGGGAACUCUGGUUAUUGUGAUGAAACAAAGCAGCCCAUCUUUUUACUGGCAAGGUAAGAGUGAGUCGGUGAAAGAGCUCAGGAAGGAGGGUAAAGAACAGGAGGCACAGAGGCACUGUGCCCCUCAAACCACCCAUCAGGAAAAACAUAACAGGCAUGUGCCUGCCUUUUAAGCUUUGCUUGGGGUCUAGAAGACUGGUUUCCCCCAAAUCACUAACAGGCUUAUGCUACAUGAACUGUUUGAUCUUCUGGACCAAAAGUAGUUUCCAACUAGAAAUUGUAAUUACUCUUCUCUUACUAAUUUAUGAGAGUUAAAUCCCAAACUGACUUUGCCUCUAGGUUUGGAUAAAUUGUUACUAAAAAGAAGUGCUGGCAGAUACUUUCUAUGCCUAUGUGUCUAACUUUAGCUAUUUUCUUUGAGGACUACCUCCUACCACUGCCCACGUUUCAUGUCCCCCUUCUAGUCCUACUCAACCAAGAUUAUAUUAGACAUUACAUUAUAUAAUAAUGGCCAUUUCAGUCCUCUCUCCUAACCAUAUGCAAGCUUUCAGAAUGGGUUCCUGUCUGUCUGUAACUUCCACAGAGCCUAACAGGUACCAAAUACUAGCUUGCUGGCCGAUUGUCAAUGAAUACUGCCCACUUGUCAUAAGAUUCUAAGUAUCAAUUCUCUACAGGCACUAAAACAGAACAUUUCCUAAUCUCACAAAACUCCUGAAACUUUAGUGGAAUCUCAGAGUUCCUCAAGAUUGCAUGAAAGUGCAUAAAAUCAGGUGGGAUUAUGAAAGCGUUGAUCUAAGCCACCACUUUGGAGCCCCCAGCACCAGGGCAUGAGGUAAGAUAAAAACAAAUGGGUAAAAGCUGCAGAGUUUGAAAACCAAGACUUUAAGCAUUGUAGGUACUCCUAUGAUAUAAAGUAGAAUAUCUGACAUUCAGAAGCUGGGCCAGUGAGUUAUAAAUGAGUCCUGCUAGAAAACGUGCAUUUCUAGUCUUACGUUUAAAUCCACGUAGCAGUAAGAAUUCAAAAAAACAUGGUGCAUUAAGUGGUCUUUAUUGAGAUUUCACAUUCGGUUAUCGUCAUUAUCAGUUCUUCAGUUAAUUGUACAAGUAUGAUAAGUUAUUUUAUGUCUGACGUGGGAAUUUAAAUGUAAAAUAAAUACAAAAUACAUUUGUGGUUUAAUGAA